rnacentral:rRNA from 1 species
CCUACGGGUGGCUGCAGUGAGGAAUAUUGGUCAAUGGGCGGAAGCCUGAACCAGCCAAGUCGCGUGAGGGAAUAAGGCCCUACGGGUCGUAAACCUCUUUUGCCGGGGAGCAAGGGCGGGGACGUGUCCCGGCCCGGAGAGUACCCGGAGAAAAAGCAUCGGCUAACUCCGUGCCAGCAGCCGCGGUAAUACGGAGGAUGCGAGCGUUAUCCGGAUUUAUUGGGUUUAAAGGGUGCGUAGGCGGGCGUUUAAGUCAGCGGUAAAAAUUCGGGGCUCAACCCCGUCGGGCCGUUGAAACUGGCGUCCUUGAGUGGGCGAGAAGAAGGCGGAAUGCGUGGUGUAGCGGUGAAAUGCAUAGAUAUCACGCAGAACUCCGAUUGCGAAGGCAGCCUACCGGCGCCCUACUGACGCUGAGGCACGAAAGUGCGGGUAUCGAACAGGAUUAGAUACCCGUGUAGUC